CCUACGGGAGGCAGCAGUGGGGAAUAUUGGACAAUGGGGGGAACCCUGAUCCAGCGACGCCGCGUGAGUGAAGAAGUAUUUCGGUAUGUAAAGCUCUAUCAGCAGGGAAGAAAGAAAUGACGGUACCUGACUAAGAAGCCCCGGCUAACUACGUGCCAGCAGCCGCGGUAAUACGUAGGGGGCAAGCGUUAUCCGGAUUUACUGGGUGUAAAGGGAGCGUAGACGGCGAUGCAAGUCUGAAGUGAAAGGCGGGGGCACAACCCCCGGACUGCUUUGGAAACUGUAUGGCUGGAGUGCAGGAGAGGUAAGUGGAAUGCCUAGUGUAGCGGUGAAAUGCGUAGAUAUUAGGAGGAACACCAGUGGCGAAGGCGGCUUACUGGACUGUAACUGACGUUGAGGCUCGAAAGCGUGGGGAGCAAACAGGAUUAGAUACCCUUGUAGUC
rnacentral:rRNA from 1 species